UACGUAGGCAGCAAGCGUUGUUCGGAGUUACUGGGCGUAAAGGGUGUGUAGGCGGUUGCUUAAGUUUGGUGUGAAAUCUCCCGGCUCAACUGGGAGGGUGCGCCGAAUACUGAGUGACUCGAGUGCGGGAGAGGAAAGUGGAAUUCCUGGUGUAGCGGUGGAAUGCGCAGAUAUCAGGAGGAACACCGAUAGCGAAGGCAGCUCGCUGGGACGGUACUGACGCUGAGGUGCGAAAGCGUGGGGAGCGAACAGG
rnacentral:rRNA from 1 species